CACCCCAGCCCCCUUCUCAGGCCUCGGCGGCCGAGCCCCUGCGCGGGGGCGUGGGCGGCCCCGUUCCCCGGCCCCCGUGGUGGGUUGAGCCGCCAUGUUCCCCCUUCCCCCGGCGGGGCGGGCGGCCCCGGGGGUCUCCCAGGCUGCCCCGGCAGCGCCGAGCUGGUGGGGGGGAGCUGGGGCUGGGAGCCAGAGCAGGGAACUGGGAUGGAGAACGGGGACUGGGUGUCAGGCCUGCGAGGAGGAACUGGGCCUGGGUGCCGGGACUGCGACAGGGAACCGGGACUGGGGACUGGGAUUGGGUGCCAGCGCCGGGAAGCGGAGCCGGGACCGUGGUGCUCACCGCGCAUGCGCGGGACCCUCCACCUGCUGCGCCGCCGCCGGCCGCCAGGUGCCGCCGCCACCGCCGCGGGGUGGGGCGCGUCGAGCGCGCUGACGUCACGCGCCAGCGAGGCUCCGCCUACAGCCAUGGCGGCGGCAGCGGAGGCAGAACCGGCUGCUCUUCUCCGCCCGGAGCCGCUUUCCGUGUCCCGCGGCGGCUGUGAGUCACGCCGCUUAGCCGCAGAGUUCGCAGCCUCCCUCCUUGCUGGCAGCCCGGAAGGACGUACGAAGCCGCUGGAAGCGGGCAGAGCCGAGAGGAUGAGACUGGAGUUUCCCCCUAGGUCUCACCUGGGAUGGCGUCCUGCAGGCAGCAGGUGCUUCUCCUCCACCUGGAAGAAGAGCGUGAGCAGAGGAGGAUGA
rnacentral:lncRNA from 1 species